CAUUAGAUAACUUAUAGUAAGUUUAGGUCUCUUAAACCAAAAUAAAAUAAUUAACGAUUAUUUCUAAUGA
rnacentral:tRNA from 1 species